AGAACGAACGCUGGCGGCAGGCCUCAAACAUGCAAGUCUAGGGGGUGUAGCAAUACAUCACCGGCGGACGGGUGCGUAACGCGUGGGAAUAUACCUAUUGGUUCGGAACAACUGAGGGAAACUUCAGCUAAUACCGGAUAAGCCCUUACGGGGAAAGAUUUCUCGCCAAUAGAUUAGCCCGCGUCCGAUUAGCUAGUUGGUGGGGUAAAAGCCUACCAAGGCAACGGUCGGUAGCUGUUCUGAGAGGAAGAUCAGCCACACUGGGACUGAGACACGGCCCAGACUCCUACGGGAGGCAGCAGUUGGGAAUCUUGGACAAUGGGGAAACCCUGAUCCAGCCAUGCCGCGUGAGUGAUGAAGGCCUUCGGGUUGUAAACUCUUUCGACGGGGACGAUAAUGACGGUACCCGUAGAAGAAGCUCCGGCUAACUUCGUGCCAGCAGCCGC
rnacentral:rRNA from 1 species